rnacentral:lncRNA from 1 species
AUCAAGAGACUUUAUGAAACAGCUUUGUUCAGCAGGAGGUGGACCUGUAGAUAAAUAACUGCAGAACCUCUGGGCAGUGGGCAGGACCUUGAGAAGGAAUCAAUGGAAGCUACUUGCGAGGAGGUGGCAACUAGGGCCUCACCUGUUAUUCAUUGCAAGGACUUAGAUUAUUAUUAAAAGUUAUCUUCCUGAAUGGAAGCCAGAGAGUCAGGGGGCAGGGAUCUAUUUUUGUCUCUCUUUGGGUCUCUAGCAUGCCUGGUACAGUGCCUGUGGUCAUUAACCAAAAUCCGUUUGGAAUGGAAUCAUAUUUAAUUGUGUUGUAUUAAUUCUUUGACUUG